ACCUUUUAAAAUACCAGAAAAAAAAAAUUAGAACAAGUGAUGUGUGGUGUUGUCACAGUUAUACAUAAUACACUUCACUUGUUAUGUGCCUACUUUAUUAGGAGAAAUCAGGUCAAAGUGUUCCCAUACAGAGGAGAAUCUUCUCUUUCUGGCUGGUUCUAUAAAAAAAGAGUCUCAAACCGAUUGAAUGCAAAGAUACAGCAGGUAAAAAUCCAGCAAAUGUGAACGGGGAAUCCAUUGCGUUUCGCUGCCCCUUAUAUUUUGAAUUGCACGUCAAACCUGCGAACCACUUCCUCAACCAGUCACGCGGUACGACCGUCUUGCGAGGCUUCGAACGUCAUCAUUUUUGGCUCCUCCCCUAAAUGAAGCAAGCCCCACGCACACACAGCGCAUGUGUCGAAGCCAUCACUAUGUAUGUCUAUGGUCGGCACGUCUGGUAGCAUAUCUGGCUGCUGUUGAUCUUGUUUUUGGAGUUAAACACGGUGGAAGCUGAAUUAGUGAGGAUGACUCCUGCUUCUGUCAUCUCUAAGCUCCUCACACAUCUUUACCUGCACAUGAGGAAAAUCUCUCCUGUAGAAUGCAGAUGUUCAGAGGGAGAUGAUGCCACAUCUGGUCCAGCUGAUGGAAGGUCUUGAAGUUCUCUGACUGGCCUCGACUGAAGAUGGUCGUCUCACUGGAUUUAAGGUUCAGAUGUUCAGUAACAAACUCCACCAAUGAGCCAACAGGGAAGCUUUAGGUUUAUUAAAUGUUGCUAUGAAGGUAUCGCUGUUUUUCUUUGUGAAUGCAAUGUGCUCCAACUGAAACUUGAAUUAGAACUUAGAAGUAAGUCCUUCCAUCUGAAAGGAUUUAGUUGCAUUAAUAACCUGAUAACAUUCUAAUUUUUAUUCCAGUCUUGGUUGGAAAUAGAAUCUCUGUAUUGAUUCAGGUAAAAACUGAACUUCACAGCAUGUUGAAGCAAAACAACCAGAUGAAAACUGUGAUGGUGUUGGAUUGUCAGACCGUAAUGUUGCAGCUCAAAGCAGCUUUUCUAGCUCAGUUCAUUCUGACAUUCAGCUAUGAAUCAACACAGCAGAUGGUGAUCUAUGCUGUGGAAGUCUCACAUCUCCUGAUUUAAUGGAGCUGCUUUGCACUUUUUACACUGUUUAUUCACCAACACUUUAUUUAAUAAAAGUCCCAUCUAGUUUUCAUGAGGAAUGUGAUGUUUUAAUUUCUCUGUGAAUAACUGCAGUCUAAUGCAACAGCUGGAGUUGUAACAUCUGUCCUGAUAUUGAUCAUGAAGUAUUGAUCAGAAUACUUAUGGUUAGUAGUCAUCCCUGAAGUUUUACAUUAAAAUCUUUACUUGUGUUGUGAACUUAGGUAAGAAGCAGAAACGUUAGCGUUGCCAUGGAUACAUGAGUGUUAAAUUCAGUCCAUGUUUCAUUUUGGGAAAUUCAGUCCAGUUCCAGAAUGUGGAGGAAUUUAGGCUCACAAUCACAGACAACAAAUAUUAUCUGAAAGCCGGGUUAUUGUUGUUUAUCAGCACAAUACAAAAAGAUUAAUGUUAGAAAUAUUCCAGUUAAGACCCUAGAAUAUCAUGAUUUAUGUAAAUUUACCUCAAUAAUAUGAAUGUUCAGGUCAAGAUUGUACAGUGAUAUUUAUUAUGUAAGUUUAGCUGAUUAAAGUUUAUGACUCUGCACUAAAAUAUUAUUUAAAUUGAUAUCAUUAUUAUAAUAUUUAGGGUCAGACCCUACAGUAUUGAGAUUAAGAAAUCAAAUAUUCUAUAAAAUGUAAAUACAUUGAACUCAUUUGGAUAUAUUUAAGUGAGAAUCUACACUAUUAUUUAUGACACAAAUCUAAAUUUUAAUCAUUUUUACUCCAAACAUUUACUGGACUGAUUUAAAUAUUAAAAUCACUCCUUUCUAAUCCUCUGCUGUACGUUCAAACCUGAGGCCUUAAAUAGAAACACACAAGUAUCUGUUUGAAGGAACUUCUGCAGAGUCCUGGUUCCAGAACAUGAUGAUAGAAUUAUAGACAAACUUUAACAAAAGCUGCCUGAGAGUUUACAGGUUUUUAUGUUGGAUUUCUUCAGUAAUUUAAUGAGAGUUAUCAGGAAAAAUGAAGUAUUCAUUUGAUGAACUUCAUUUCCUAAAACAUCCAGAAUUGGAGCUCAUAUCUUUGGCAGCUGUAAAGUUUCUGCUUCUUCAAAAUUCACAACACAAUGAAUGAAUUCCUAAAACUCUCUCAAUGCUGGAGAACGUUUGAUGCUGAAGCAGUGACCCAGUUUUUCUGUUU